rnacentral:lncRNA from 1 species
UAUGCAUUAAGCCCAAAAGUGCGAUAAUUAUAGAAGAUCUGUAGCAAUAUUUAAACCAAUGAAAGGAACUAAUAAAACAAAUAUAUUAUAGAAGAUCUGUAGCAAUAUUUAAAAUAUUAAAAAUGUAUUAAUAGACAUUUUAUGACGCACGUAAAUUAAGCAUUUCUUAUAAGUAAUUCUGACAAUCCAAUUCAUUAUCACUUCGAACAUGACUCCAUCCAUCUCAGCCUCACGCCAUUUCGAACGUAAAUUAGCCUAAUUUGAUCUCUCGUCAUUAGACAGGAUACUGAUCCCUUUAAGUCAACACUAUAUUCGAGGCGGGUCAAAGCAAAAGCAGGCAUUUGGUGGAUUUCUGGAAUAUCGAGAUGGAUCAAAAGCAGAAAGUAGUCUCCUCCCUCCGGCUCUAUUUUUUAACUGAUGGAAAAGAAUUCAGAUUUUAGAAUGAGUUAUUUUUAUUUA